rnacentral:rRNA from 1 species
GAUGAACGCUAGCGGCAGGCUUAACACAUGCAAGUCGAGGGGUAUAUUUCUUCGGAGAUAGAGACCGGCGCACGGGUGCGUAACGCGUAUGCAAUCUGCCUUUCACAGAGGGAUAGCCCAGAGAAAUUUGGAUUAAUACCUCAUAGCAUAACCAAACCGCAUGGUUUGGUUAUUAAAGUCACAACGGUGAAAGAUGAGCA